CCCUUAGAUGUCCUGGGCUGCACGCGCGCUACACUGAUGUGUCCAGUAAGCACCUAACCUCUUCCGAAAGGAACGGGUAACCUUUGCAAAGCACAUCGUGAUGGGGAUAGAUUAUUGCAAUUAUUAGUCUGGAACGAGGAAUUCCUAGUAAGCACAAGUCAUCAGCUUGUGUUGAUUACGUCCCUGCCCUUUGUACACACCGCCCGUCGCUCCUACCGAUUGAAUGUUCCGGUGAGCUCUUCGGACUGCGCGGUCUGCAGUUUCUGCGUUCCGUGCGGAAAGUUGCGCAAACCUUAACAUUUAGAGGAAGGAGAAGUCGUAACA
rnacentral:rRNA from 1 species